UGGGGAAUAUUGGACAAUGGGCGAAAGCCUGAUCCAGCCAUGCCGCGUGUGUGAAGAAGGUCUUCGGAUUGUAAAGCACUUUAAGUUGGGAGGAAGGGCAUUAACCUAAUACGUUAGUGUUUUGACGUUACCGACAGAAUAAGCACCGGCUAACUCUGUGCCAGCAGCCGCGGUAAUACAGAGGGUGCAAGCGUUAAUCGGAAUUACUGGGCGUAAAUCGCGCGUAGGUGGUUUGUUAAGUUGGAUGUGAAAUCCCCGGGCUCAACCUGGGAACUGCAUUCAAAACUGACUGACUAGAGUAUGGUAGAGGGUGGUGGAAUUUCCUGUGUAGCGGUGAAAUGCGUAGAUAUAGGAAGGAACCCCAGUGGCGAAGGCGACCACCUGGACUAAUACUGACACUGAGGUGCGAAAGCGUGGGGAGCAAACA
rnacentral:rRNA from 1 species